UAGGGAAUCUUCGGCAAUGGGGGGAACCCUGACCGAGCAACGCCGCGGGAGUGAAGAAGGUUUUCGGAUCGUAAAGCUCUUUUGUUAAGGAAGAACGAGUGUGAGAAUGGAAAGUUCAUACUGUGACGGUACUUAACCAGAAAGGGACGGCUAACUACGUGCCAGCAGCCGCGGUAAUACGUAGGUCGCGAGCGUUGUCCGGAUUUAUUGGGCGUAAAGCGAGCGCAGGCGGUUAGAUAAGUCUGAAGUUAAAGGCAGUGGCUCAACCAUUGUAGGCUUUGGAAACUGUGUAACUUGAGUGCAGAAGGGGAGAGUGGAAUUCCAUGUGUAGCGGUGAAAUGCGUAGAUAUAUGGAGGAACACCGGUGGCGAAAGCGGCUCUCUGGUCUGUAACUGACGCUGAGGCUCGAAAGCGUGGGGAGCGAACAGG
rnacentral:rRNA from 1 species